rnacentral:rRNA from 1 species
CCUACGGGAGGCUGCAGUGAGGAAUAUUGGUCAAUGGCCGGAGGGCUGAACCAGCCAUGCCGCGUGAAGGUCAGUGCCCUAUGGGCGUUAAACUUCUUUUGUGCGGGAGCAAUAAUGGUCACGUGUGGCCAGACGAGGGUACCGUACGAAUAAGCAUCGGCUAACUCCGUGCCAGCAGCCGCGGUAAUACGGGGGAUGCAAGCGUUAUCCGGAUUUAUUGGGUUUAAAGGGUGCGUAGGCUGGGAGGUAAGUCAGCGGGGAAAUGCCCCCGCUCAACGGGGUGAAGGGCCAUUGAUACUGCCUUGCUGGAAUGCGGAUGCCGUGGGAGGAAUGUGUGGUGUAGCGGUGAAAUGCAUAGAUAUCACACAGAACACCGAUUGCGAAGGCAUCUCACGAAUCCGCGAUUGACGCUGAUGCACGAAAGCGUGGGUAUCAAACAGGAUUAGAUACCCGGGUAGUC